AGAGUUAAACAGUACGUGAAAUUGUUGAAAGGGAAACGAUUGAAGUCAGUCAUGCUAGUAGGGAAUCAACUUGGUGGAGCGAGUUUCUUGUUCUUCCGGGUGUACUUUCUUGCUUGGCAGGUUAGCAUCAAUUUUAGUUGUCAUCAAAUAAUUGGGGAAAUGUGGCUUCUUUUCGGAGAAGUGUUAUAGACCCUGAUAGAUGUGACGACUAGGAUUGAGGAUUGCAGCGGAUGCCUUUGGCUAGUCACCUGUCUUCUGGCGGUCACCUCGCUUUUGACAGCUUGCUGAUGAUUGUGGGAUUUGGCAGUCUAGAAGGUAGAUUGAUCAUAAAUUCGCUAAGGAUGCUGACGUAAUGGCUUUAAACGA
rnacentral:misc_RNA from 1 species